UUUCGUGCAAGGAAUAUCUAAUAUCUAGCUAGCUAGUACUAGGUAUAUUGCCUCAUGUCAUGUCAGCCAUAAAUAAGAAUAAAAAUCAUCUUGGUAACAAGGGAGAAAUUAUCACCAUAAUCCAAAUCAUAAAUUUGAGUAUAUCAUUUUGCUACCAGAGCAACUAAGACAACAAGAAACGCAUAAUAGGUUGCAACAACACAUUUAGAUAAAGUGGAGUAGCGUCGUGAGAAACGUGAAGAGCAAAGUAGAAAACAAAGCACACAUAUUUCUUAAUAAUAGGUUAACUCAACCUUUAGUUGUGUCCUGUCCUUCAACAUGAAAGAUUUUCUUAAGCAAGUUGGUCACAAUAAGUGUUCUCUAAGUCACUUUUUCAACUAUACAAUAGGUGGAGAACCCAAGUCUCAUACCUGAAAAUUAAAUCCUAUAUGCAGUAUGUGGCGCCUGCCCAAGAAUCCCUUGCAUUCCUUGAUUCUGGAGUGAAAAGAGGCAAUAAAUGCAGAAAUUAUGUGGACUUUGUAGGUCAUCGUUAGUGAUCCUGCCUUGAUUUAAUAUGUUUGAUUUAAAAACAAUAUUACUGCAAAUCGUCCUGGAGGAGGGUCAUUGAAGUUAUGUCAGCACUUGAAUUCCUCUCUAUUUAUUGUUGUACAUGAUUUAUCUAGAGCUUCUGGUCGUGCAGUGUUUAUUUAGGUGUUUUCUACUUUUUAUUUAGAAAGAAAGGCCGUAACUUACGGAUUCUUUUGGUCUGGCUAUUGUGCGAGAUAUAUGACAUUCGAAAUAGUGUAUUCUCCCUGGUGCUUUAAAUUACACUGACUAUUUUGAAUACCAAAUCUAUGGUGUUGCGACAGAAAAUUGAUUGCUAUAAACUAUUUUUCCUUCUGCCUUAUUUCAGGGGCGGGACAGGCUGGGAGACAAGCCGCUAUUUGUCUUAGUUAAAGUGACGGCCUGAUAUUUUUCCUGCUGAUUAUGUUUAGUUAUUGACCAUUGGAUCUGGCUCUUGUUAGGAGCUCUAUUGAUGACUUCUUAGAUUUUCUUAACAUAUAUUUUGAUGGGAUUUGCUGCAGAAAGCUUCGUUGUUUCUGCGAUUAGUUCUGCUCUAUUAUUAUUAUCAUUAUUAUUAUUAUCAUUAUUAUUAUUAUUAUUAUUAUUAUUUUCUGUGUCUGUUGUUUUAAAGCUCGUAAUUUAUAUUUAUAGAAUAGAGAAAACUAUUAGAGUCGGUCCAGUGGUUAGAAAUUUGGGUAAUAUGCAUAGUUUUAAUCUUAAUAUUGUAAAAAAAUGUAAAUUAUCUUAUUUUUGUGUUGGGGAAUGAGAGAACUACUUGCCCUUUGCCCAUUUCGCAGUGGUAGAUCUUAAGAUUAGGCAUAGUAAUGAGAAUAGUCUCGCUAAGGAUUGUUUAAUUUUUAAUAAUUAAACUAUAUUCUUAGGGGUGGUCAUAAAUUAGAUUUUUCAAAAUUCAAUCUAGAUCCAAUGAAAUGGAUUGGAUUUAAAAUUCAUAUCCAAGAUCAAAUUAAUUUGAAUUUUUUAAAAUUUAUUGAAAAUAGAUUAAAUCUAAAUUAAAUUCACUUUAUCAAUUAGAUUAAUUCCAUCUCAAUUUGAACCCUAGUCGACUCAGUUCGACAUGGACUUUGGCCUACUGGACUCAACCUUAGUAUGAGUCAACUUGGAUCUACAUGGGCUCGGUACUGACUCAACCUUGACUCGGUGACUCAACUCGACAUGGGUUCGAGAUCAUUCAACUUGACAUGGGCACAACCCUUCUUAGCUUGACAUGGACCUAAUUUGAUUUAAGUUGACAUGGUCUUGGGUCGACUCGACUCAACAUAGUCUUGGGUUGCCUUGCAUCAACAUGGGUCCGGGCUGACUUGACUUAACAUGGGCCUAGGCUGACUCAGCUUGACAUUGGCCCAAACCGACUUGGCUCAACAUGGUCUGGUAAGGGUGGGCAAAAAAUUCAAAUUACAAAAUCCAAUCCAUAAUUAUCCAAAUCCAUAAUCCAUUUAAAUGGAUUUAUCUCAAAUCCAUAAUCCAUUUAAUUGGAUAAAGAUUAUAUAUAUUGGAUACAUUUUUGGAUUAUCCAAAUUGCAUUUUAGGUUAGAUUUUGACUUGGCCCGAUCCAGGUUGAGCCAAGACAAUCCGGACCCAAGUUGAGUAAAGUGGGCCAAAGUCGAGCCAAGUCGUUUUGGGCCAACGUUGAGCCGAGUCAACCCUGGGCCAAGUCGAGUUGAGUGGUCGAUAUUAAGUCGACCCGAGUCGGCCAGGGCCGAUAUCGAGCCGAGUUGGCUUAGACGUCUAGACGAGCUGAGUCUUUCGGGUCCGAUAACGAGUCAAGCGAGCCUGGGUCGAUAUCCAAACGAUCGGGGUAGGGCGGUGUCGAGCCAAGUAGGUCUGGGCCAAUGUCGAGGCGAGCGGGCCUGAGCUGAUGUUGAGCUAAGUGGGCCCGAGUCGAUGUCGAGCCGACCAGUCCUAGAUCGAUGUCGAGCUGAGCAGUCUGGACCAAUGUCGAGCUGAGCAGUCUGGACCGAUGUCGAGCUGAGCGGGCCUGGGCCGAUGUUAAGUCGCCCAGGCCGAUGUAGAGUCGUUCGGGACCAGGCCGAUGUCCUCCUGAGCAGGUCGGGAUGAUGUCGAUUCGGGCACGGGUCGACGUCGAGUCGAGCAGGCCUGGGCCGAUGUCGAGUCGAGCAGGCCUGGGCCGAUGUUGAGUCGAGCGGCCCCGGAAUGAGGUCAACCUGAGCUGGCCUGGAUUGAUGUCGAGUCGAGCAGGCCCUGACCGAUCGGACCCGGGCGAUGUCGAGCCAAGUGGGCCCAAACCGAUGUUGAGUAGUGUGGGCCCGGGCUUAUGUCGAGCCGUCCGGGCCUAGGUCAAUGUUGAAACAUUCGGGCCCGUGUCAAUGUCGAGUCGAGUAGACCUAGACCGAUGUCGAGUCGUCUGGUCUGGGCUCGGGCUUGUCUCAAUAUCGACCUUGGCCUGCUCAGCUUGACAUCGACCCGGACAUGCUCAGCUUGACAUUGCUCUAGCCUAGUCGUCUUGUUAGUACAGGCCCGCUCGACUCGAUAUCAAACUCGAAAGACUCAGCUUGACAUGGGCUUGGACCGACUCGAUUAGACAUUGGCCUAGGCCAACUCGACUAGAUAUCGGCCUCGGGUCGACUCAAUAUUGCCACUCAGCUUGACUUAGCCUAGGGUUGACUUGACUCGACUUUGGUCCGGAACGACAUGGCUUGACUUUGGCCCAUACCGACUGGUCCCGGGCGAUGUCGUGUUGAGUGGGCCGGACACGAGGUCGAGCCAAGUGGGCCUAAACCGAUGUUGAAUAGUCUGCGCUCGGGCUUAUGUCGAGUUGUCCAGGCCUAGGUCGAUGUUGAGACGUUCGGGCCCGUGUCGAUGUCGAGUCGAGCAGACUGAGACCGAUGUCGAGUCGUCUGGUCUGGGCUUGGGCUUGUCUCAAUAUCGACCUUGGCCUGCUCGACUUGACAUCAACCCGAACAUGCUCAGCUCGACAUUACCCUAGCCUAGUCGUCUUGAUAGUACGGGCUCGCUCGACUCGAUAUCAAACCCAAAGCCUCAACUUGACAUGGACCUGGACCGACUCGAUUAGACAUUGACCUAGGCCAACUCGGCUGGAUAUUGGCCUCAAGUCGACCAGGCCCUGCACGAGGUCGAGUUGACCGAGCCCCAUCCAAUGUAGAGUCGUCUGGUCCAGGGUCGAUGUCGUGUCUAGCCUGGGACGAGGUCAAGCCGAGUGGGCCCGAGCAAUGUUGAGUUGUCUGGGCCCGACUGAUGUGGAGUCCAGUGGGCUUGGGCCGAUAUCCAGUAGAGCGGGUCUGGGCCAAUGUUGAGAAGAGCGAGCUUGGGUCGAUGUUGAGUAGAGCAGGCCGGGUCGAUGUCGAGUCGAGUGGGCCCUUUCGAUGUUUUGUUGACCAGGCCCUGCACGAGGUCAAGUCAAGCAGGCCCAUAUCGAUGUUGAAUCAUCCGGGCCUAGGCAGAUGUCGAAUCGUUCGGGUCGAUGUCAAGUCGAGCAGUCCCAUGUCGAUGUUGAGUCGAGUGGUCUCGAGCUGAGUCGAGUCGAACGAGCCCGAGCCGAUGUCUAGUAGAGCGGGCCCGGGCCGAUAUCGAGUUGUCCGGACCUAAGACAAUGUUGAGUCGAGUUGGUCCGCGUCAAGGUUGAGUCGGCUUAGGUCCAGUUCGAGCCAAGUUAGAAUGUGUCCAUAUCAAAAUGGAUUUAAUUUAAUUGACAAAGUGAAUUUAAUCUAAUUAAUAAAGUGAAUUUAAUAUAGAUUUAAUUCACUUUAAAUGGAUUUAAAAAAAUCUAAAUAAAUUUGAUCUAGUUAAAAUGGAUAUAAAAUUUAAAUUCAAUCCAUUUAUUUGGAUUUGGAUUGGAUCUAGAUUAGGUUUUGAAAAAUCCAAUUCAUGACCAUCCCUAGCGGUUGACUCGGUUCGAUGUCGGGACAUAUUGACUCUCUUCGACAUCGACUCAACUCGGCUUGACAUGGGCCUGAAUCGACUUUGAUCGACGUCGGCCUAGGCUGACUCGGCUCUACAUCCUCUGGACUAACUUGACUCGACAUCGGCCUAGACUGACUCUACUCGACAUCGGCCUAGACUGACUCUACUCGACAUCGGCCUGGGACAACUUGGCUUGACAUCUAGUCGAGCUGACUCUCCGCGACAACGACUCGGACCAACUCGACUCGACAUCACCAUGAAUCGACACAACUCGAAAUUGGCCCGAAUUGAAUCGACUCAACAUCGGCCUAACCCAACAAUGCUCGACAUGGUCUACAUGGGCCAUGGUCGACUCAACUUGACAUGGGCCCUGAUCGACUCAACUUGACAUGGGCCUGGGUCAACUUAGCUCGACAUGGGUUUGGGUUGACUUAGCUCUACUUUAGUCUGGGUCGACUUGGGUGGACUUUGCUCGGCUUGGGCUCGAAUUAACUUGUCUUAACCUCGGUCCGAGCCAAGUCAAAAUCCAACCCAACAUUUAUUUUGGAUAGUCCAAAAAUGUAUCUAAUAUAUAUCCAAUUAAACGGGGACUUAAAAUCCAAAAAUAUGGAUUUGGAUUUGGAUUUGGAUUUGGAUUUGGAUUUGGCAUCCAAAUGGAAAUUUUUGAAACAAACAUGAAGCAUUUAAAAUAAUUUUAGAAUCAUUAUUAAACUGAUUUAAAAAAUUUCCACGGAAGAGACAUUCCUGUCACUCACAAUAGGCCCAGACAUUUGCUGUCACUCAUAAUAGGCUCACAGAAAUUACAUGCAACAAUUCCACAAGUUCACAACUCAACCCAUAUGCUUGUGAUAAAGAAUAAUGAAGGAUCGAUAUCGGAGACCUCUUUAAUCAUUGUAGACCUCCAGAUCCCUAGAAAAUAUCUUACAAGCACAUCACAUAAUUUCAAACUUGUACAUACACGGUUGGUACUUGGACAACCUAAUCCAAAAAACCCAUAAGGACUUCCUAACUUUUCCAAAGUCUACCCUGUCAAAACAACAAUCAAGAAUUCAAGGGAAAUGAUAACUACACUAAAGAAGAAUUCAGGUUACCAAAAGCUAGCCACGAGAAUCCAAUAAAAAACAAAAUCCAAACAAGUUUAGCCAGUCACGAAUAAAUGCACAAUAAAAUUCAAAAAUAAAGCUUCAUUGGAUCACGUGCUACAGUUUCUACAUUCUACCUUACACAGUCGUAUACAAACAAUAACACAAAUUCCAAAACAAAGGGAUAUUCACUCAUAACACGAUCGAUUAGAUGAAUUCAAACAUAAAGCUUCAUUGAAUCACGUGCUAGAGUGUCUACAUUCUACCUCACACAGUCGUAUACAAACAAUAACACAAAUUCCAAAACAAAGGGAUAUUAACUCAUAACACGAUCGAUUAAAUGAAUUCAAACAUAAAGCUUCAUUGAAUCACGUGUUAGAGUGUCUACAUUCUACCUCACACGGUCGUAUACAGACAAUAACACAAAUUCCAAAACAAAGGGAUAUUCACUCAUAACACGAUCGAUUAGAUGUAGCAUGAAAAAUAUUGCAAACACCACUGCAAAGAAACAAAUGACAACGGAAUCCUUAUAUUUCGUGAUCAAAUCCGAAAAAAUCAAAUAGAGGAAAUUUAUUUUUCAAACACCACUGCAGAGAAACAAAUGACAACGAAAUCCUUAUAUUUCGUGAUCAAAUCCGAAAAAAUCAAAUAGAGGAAAUUCUAAACACUUAUGGAUUUUAAUCCUCAACCAAUCUUUUUAUUUUGAUAGAUCUCUAUCACCAAAUAAAAGAAUGCAUUCAAAUAGAUAGUCACGAAUGAACACAUUAGAAAAUGUAAGGGUAACAAAACCUAUGGUUUCAAAUGAUCCUGCCCAUGUUUCUACAUUGUCCUCACACAUCCAUUACAUGUCUUAUAGCUAUAAAGAGAAAAAAUUCAAGAAAACUGAAAGCACUCAUACUAGAGGUGGAAUUUUAGAAAAUAUUAGACGAAUUCUUAAAUUCAGAAACAAAUAGAGACACUCACCAAAGCUCGACGAGAUCCGGGCAUUAUUUGAAUCCAAUCAUAAACAACUGUAGAAAAACAAAUCUUGAUAUGGAAACAAGAAAAUAUGAUACUGCUAGCUUACCAUAUAAUGAACCCUAAACCCACAAAAGAAGAUAGCAAGUUGCAUAUCGUUCAUCGCGUGUUGUUAUAAGCUGAAAAGGGAUUAAUGGAGACAGUUCAAUCAACACCUGGAUUGGGUAGAGGAAUAGAAUAACAAUUUUACCCAGCCUCCAAAAUACAAUUCCUGCUCUGUGUUCUGAAAAGGGAUUAAUGCAAACAAUUCAAUCAACACCUGGAUUUGGGUAGAAAAAUAGAAUAACAAAGAAAUUAGUUUAUCAAGAGUCGUUCCUUGUUUUGACUUUCACCUCCAAAACACCAUUAUCUUUCUCGCAUAGAAAUCCUGUCCAAAUAGAACAUGAACAAAAAAUGAACGGAAAGGUAUAACUAAUUAAAGAAAUCAUGGCAUAAACAACUCAACAUGUAUGAUUCACUUAGGUGCAAACGUAUAACAAUGGAAACAAACUGCACAUCCUCUGAACUCUUAUCAAUAAGAAAGAAAGUAGUUCUCGCAUUGGAAAAGCCAUUGACGGAUGUUUUCUCCAGAGAAUCUCCUACCGCAAGAAUAAGAAGAAGAGGGAUGUUGCUUUGUGAAUUCUUGAAAUUGAUCUUUUAAGAGAUAAGUACUCUAUUAUGUUCUGUUUUUUACAUGGGAAUCAACCUUCUUUAUAUAUAGCAAAUUGAUUCGUAACGUGGUUUUAUAUUUUUGUUAUUACACUUAAUGCUCAAGUUUUAGUUUAUUUAUUUUUAAACGAAACACUCUAUCAUCUCACCAAUAGUUAACACUAUAAAUUCUAAAAUUAAUUUAUACAAAAAGAACUUUUAAUAUGAAUAGGUAUAUGUUGUAUUAAGUUCAAUCGAUUUUGUGUUUGAUAUUAAAAUAAUUCAUUUUUAUUGUAAAAUAAUGGUAAUUUUUUAAUAAGUAAUAAUAUAUAAAUUUAAUGUAUUUUUCAUCACUUCUAUUAUUAGCUUUUCAAAAUUAUACUUAAAAGUUGAAAAGAUUUUUAAGUGUUGAAAACAUUUUUAGUAGGCGAAAAAUUUAUACAUAUAAACAAGAAAACCUUUAAAUCCAUUUGUUAGUAAGUGUUUUUCCCCAAAGAGAUUCAGUAGGAAAAACAAUCUAAGAAGUUGACUUCUAAAUUUAUAUAUCUUUAUUAUAUUUUCAAGAGAAUAAUUUUUUUUGCAUAAGAAAUUAAUAGUUUUCAUGUAUUACAACUAAAAAAUAUAUACCUAAUCCAGUUAUAGUUAAAAUCUAAUUUACUUUUAACCUUCUUUAUUUUUUUUUAUUUUCUUAUAAUUUUGCCAUCAAUAUUAAUAAAAUCAAUUAAAAGAAUAUCAUCUCAACUUGGAUUUUAAGUAAUUAUUUUGUUUGAGCUAUUUUUUUUAAAUAAGAAAUUUCAUAUAAAAAAAAUAAUUAAAGAGUGAUGUGAUCUUUGAUUUCUUUGUAAGUUGUGUGCUAAAAAUAUUUUUAAUUUUUAUGCGAAAAUAAUUCAAACACCAAUUCAACCUUUAUGCAUGAAAAGGUAAAAACUCACAUCAUCACAUAAAAAAUCACAUGCAGAAUUUACUAAUAAUUCUUGCAUUCUUCAAUCCAAUAAAAACACAUCAAUCAAUCGAUCGUUUAUUAAUUAUGUCUUUAUUUAUGGUAUUUGUUCUGGAUAUGUAAUGUCAUAUACAUAAAAUAAUUAUUUUAUGAUUUCAUUUUUAUUUAUUUUUCAGAUUUCACUUAUAUAUCAAUAGAAAUAUAAAAAACAAUCAAUUUUUUAUAAAAAAACCAAAAAAGAAAUAAUUUUUAUGUUACGAAAAACGUAACAAACGCAGAAGCAACAAUAUGAAGAACAAUGGAGGAAACAAACCGAUAAAGAGAUGAAAAAAUCGACAUAAAUGAUAAAAUUAAGGAACUUUGAUGAAAAAAAAUCCAAAAAAUUAAAUUAUGUUGCGAAAAAACUUAACAAACAAAUUAAGAGAAUCCGCAAAAAGAAUAAAAACAAGCAAUGUAGAAAAGAAAUGAUAAAGAAUAACCUGUUCUUCAAAAAAGAAAAAGAAGAAAUGAGAGAAAUGUGAAACAUAAGCAUAACAUAUGAGAGAUACGUGAGAGAGAAUUUUGGAGGAAAUGCAGAGAGUUAGGGUUUAAAAAUCGGAAAUGAAGAGAGUGGAAGGAAGGAACGUUUCAAACUGAUAUUUAUUAGAAUUGCGGUUUAUGUCAUAAAAAAAUGUUUUGUAAAAAAUGUUUUGUAAUUCGACGUAUUUUUUUAUGAUUCAUCAAUCAAUAAUUAAAUGUUAUUUUACUGAAACAGUUCAAUACCUUUAUUGUUGAAAAAAUAAUAUAUUUAAUAGUACAAUAUGAAUAAAAUUCAAUUUUACUUUUUUAAUAUAAUGUUAUGAUUAAUGCUGCUAUAUUAAAUGUGUAUAAUAGUAUUGUUAUAAUGUAAAUCCAGUCUUAAAAAAAAGUAUACCACUUUUUUUAUUUCUACUUCAUAAUAAAUGUAUAAGUGCUAAUUAAUUAAAAAUAAAAUAAAUUAUUUAUCUAAUUGUAAAAGAUUUAUUUUGUUAUUUUAAAAUUAGAAAUAUGAUAAUUAAAUAGAAUCAAAAUACAUAAAAAUUAAAAAUAACAAAUAAAGUACUAUAUUAAAAUGUUACAAUGAUGUGCACAUAUAUCUUCACGCACCAUGCUCUUUAAUUAAAAUUAUUGGAUAAAGGUGAAUGGAUAUUUAACCACUAAAACAUUAUAGAAAUUGAUAUCUCUUUUAUAAAAUUAGAAAUACUAAAUAUUAGAAUUAUGAAAUAAUAUGAAUAAAUAUAAAACAUGAUAAUAAAUUAUUAUCAUUAUUAUUACCUCAGUAUUGAGGUGAUAUAAAAAUUCCAAGAUGGUUUGAUGAAGUAAAAGAUAAACUAGAAAUUGAUAAGUGUGAUGAUUUGAUAAGAUAAUGAAUAAUACUUGUGAUUGUUGCAAUUCCAAGAAAAAAAAGAAAACAGCACCUGAUAACUCUGGACUGAACCCAACCAAACAGGCCCUUACUCUUCUGAGAUAUCUUGAACGGAUGCAACUGAGAGUGAGAUGAAGGGGAGGACUUCCCUCCACUGGUUUAGUCAUUAGGUGCGUUGAUGGCAAUGCUGAAACCACUCGCACAUCAUUGGCAAGAACUCUCUUGAAGUGCUCCAAAUCAAAUAUAUCACCAAACUCACUGCAACCAAACCAAUGGAAAACAUCACAAAUAAGGAAAAAACAUCAAAGUCUCACCACACUAUCUUCUAACAAACACAAAUGAGGAAAGAAAUAUAAUUAACUCUAGUUAAUCAAACCGAUCAGAAUAAGAAAAUAAAUUAUUUUUUAAGCCUAAACAUAACUAGGUAUCUUGUCCAAUAUUUAAAAUUUUGAAUUCAUCAAUAAGAUAAACCUGGCUAUGGACAAUAAUAAAAUGUACCUUUCAUCACUCCAAAUGACAUUGACUUGCAAUAUAGGAACAACCUAUGCAGUCCCAAGAAUCCUAGCAAUGACAACUGCAUCAACAAUUUGAUUCCUUUGCUGAUUCAAGCCCCCAGAUAAAUUUUUUUACAUUCCGGAUUAUGAAAUCCGAAAUUUUUUUGGAUUUAGACAUCCGGAAAAUUUUUGGAUCCAUCAAUUUGUAACUCAAUAUACAUUCCACAAUCAGAAAUCUAUCAUUCAAAAAAAGCAUUUUGGAUUUAUCAAUCCAUAACAGAAAUAUGCAUUCCGGAUUCAGAAAUCCAUAAUUCAAAAAAAGCAUUAUGGAUUUACCAAUCCGUAACAGAAUUAGGCUUCUGGAUUCAGCAAUUUAUGCAAAAUUUGCUUUCGAAACACUCCCUCUUCUGAAAAACACAAUUUAAUCAAUUCCAGAUUCAUGAAUCCGUAAUAUAUUAGCAGAUCUCGAUAUCCGAUAACUCCAAAAUCUCCAUAACCACCAUGUUCCUAAAAAAAACUUAACUCUUAACUCUACAAUGCAAACAACACUUCGACAACAUAGCGUACUCCUCCACCUUGCCUCGAACAACUACAAAAACCCUCCACCAGUGAUUGAUAUUCAAUGAUGAAGAUGAACAGUGAUAAAGGAAGUUCAGCAUGGUGCCCCUUUUCAAAUUAUAGGUCAAGGUUAAUUUUGAAAUAUUUAAAAUUGUGGGGUGCAGGAAGAAAAACAUGGGAUACAGAAAGAAGAAGCCUCCUUCUCAAAUCUCAACUUUUUAUGGAUAUGGGGAUUAUGUGGCAUGUUUGUUAAAGAAUGACCCUUAAGCCCCAUCCAUGUUUCAUUUUUCAUCUAUAGAUGCUAUUCUUGGUAAUCAAAAUCAUCUUUUCUUUUUCAUCCCUUGCUUUCUUCAAGCUUUUAAUAUUCAACAACACCUAAAUCCAUCAAGGGAAUUGUCUCUACCAUGUAUGGUGUAGCAUAGGGGUGUCAAUGUCACACAAAAUACAUGAAUUCCAUGGCCAAAUUUUAGAGAUAAAAUCAUAUGGAUAAUUAUAUCUUCAUAGAGUUACCUCAACUUGACACUAGUUCUAUCUAUUUGAUAUAAAAAAAAAUAUCAUUUUAGUAUAAAUAUAUAAUGAAGUAAAAAACAAAAUACUACUUUAUAAUUAUGAUUUUAACAAUACAAUUUUAAAAUUGUUCCAUUUCAAUAAAAUAUUAAUUUUAUAAAAUUAUAAUCACUACAUAAUUGUCAACAUAUCAAUACUUAUAAAUACAUAAAUAAAAUUUAUUUUAAAUAUAUAUUAACUCAAUUAGAAUGUUAAAUAAACUUUAUUCCAAAAAUGUCUAGCACUCUUUUAUUUUUUAUUUCUCUAUCUAGCACCAUUUCAAAAAUAAAUAAAUAAAAAAUAAAUUAUUAAUUUUUUAAUAAUUUUAAUUUUGAAUGCAUUAAAAAAUAAGUAUUUUUAAUGUUUAAAAUAGUUAGAAAUAUAAUUAAUGAAUAAAGAAAUGAGUUUUUAAAAAAAAAAAAAUUAAAAAUGUUUAGUUUAAAAUUAUUUUUUAAGAAUGAAGAAAAUAAGAAAUUAAACCCUACAACAACAUAAAAGUUGAAUCUAUAAACAUAAAUUAAUAAUUAUUUUUAUUAUUAUUGAUGAUGUAAUCAUGUUAAUUUCAAGUAAAAAAAUACAAGACAUAAUUAUAAAAAAACCAAAGUCAAUUAGUAUUAAUUAAUAAUGGACACACAAAUAAUAUUGAAGUGACUACCCUAAAUGCAAAAUCCUAAAAAAAAACUAAUGCAAAUACUACACUUAAUGCUUAAAAAUGAGAAGGAAAAAAUGCAAAAAUAAAUAAGUAUAGAAAAUAAAAACAGCAAUAAUAAAAUAAAAACAAAAAUAAAUAAACAAUGGCAGGAAAAAAUAAUAACUAAAAACAUAUAAGAUAUAAAAUAGAGGCAAAACAAAAUAAGAUAAAUAUACAAAAUAUAAAAAAAAUAAAAAUUCAAACAAGAUAAAGAUAAGAGAUAUAAGACGAUACUAAAUAAGUAGAUGUUGAUCGUAAAAAGAAAAAUAAAUUAAAGAUGAUCAUUCAUUUAAUAUUUUCUUCAAUGGUACAUUAAAUAGUUUGUGCGAAAUGAAACAUAAUUAAUGACUAAAAGUGCACAAUCCAAUCAUGUUGGGACAUGUUCUUUUUGUGUGUCCUAGUGUUUGACAAUAUGAACAUUUUUUUUGUUCGAUCAUGUUGUUUUCUCAUGUCCACAUCAGUCCUUAUUCGACUUGACUUAGGUCUCCCCUUUUAUGUUAUUUUCAUGUCGGGAUUUGGGCAUAGUAUUUGACUAGUGUAUGCAGACCAAUACUCUUCAUUUUUGAGUUUCAUCAAAUAGUCUUUCGUAACAUGCGUGAAUAUCCGAGAGGAAAGAAAGAUCUGUUGCAAUGUUGUUGUUUUUAUUUUCUAUAUUUAUUUAUUUUUACAUUUUUCUUCUUCUCAUUUUUAAGCAUUAAGUGUAGCAAUUGCAUUUGUUUUUAGGAUUUUGCAUUUAGGGUAGAUAGACACUUCAAUAUUAUUUGUGCGUUCAAUAUUAAUUAAUACUAAUUGACUUUGAUUUUUUUAUAGUUAUGUCCUGUAUUUUUACUNNNNNNNNNNNNNNNNNNNNNNNNNNNNNNNNNNNNNNNNNNNNNNNNNNNNNNNNNNNNNNNNNNNNNNNNNNNNNNNNNNNNNNNNNNNNNNNNNNNNUACUAAGUUAUGUUUAUAGAUUUUCAACUUUUAUGUUGUUGUAGAGUUUAAUUUUUUAUUUUUUCAUUCUUUAAAAAAAAUUAAACUAAACAUUUUUAAUUUAUUACUUUUUUAUUUUUAUUUUGUAAAAACUCAAUUCUUUAUUCAUUAAUUAUAUCUCUAACUAUUUUAAACAUUAAAAAUACUUAUUUUUUAAUGUAUUCAAAAUUAAAAUUAUCAAAAAAUAAUAAUUUAUUAUUUAUUUAUGAAAUGGUGCUAGAUAGAAAAAUAAAAAAUAAAAGGGUGCUAGAUAGGAAAAUAAAAACAAAAGGAUGCUAGAUAGGGAAGUAAAAACAAAAGGGUGCUAGAUAGGGAAAUAAAAGUGUAAAUGGUGCUAGAAAAUUGAGCCUCAUGACUUAAAGUAAUAUUUUUUCAUUUAAAUACAAAUUUUUAUAAUUAAAAUUCUUAUAUUUCACUUAAAUGGUAUGAUAUUACUUAAGUAAAGUAUUAAAAAGAAUAAGAAAGAUGAAAGAACAAAUCUUUCUAAUAAAAAAAAAAAUUUGAUUGAACCAAACACUUCUACUUCAUUAUAUAACUUAAGCCUUUUCUUAGUCCACAGCCAAAAAAAAUAAAAUGUAACAUAUUUUCUUCCUUGUUAUCAAAUAUACCAAUUCAAACUUCUAUCCUAGAUAGCCAUAUCAAAAUAAUAUAACCAACAUUCAACAAUGACAUGAUUUUAACAUUAUAAGAAAAUCAUUAAUUAUAAAUCAAUUUUAAAUAUAAAAAAUAAUUGAUUGUUAAAUAAUUGGUAGUUAAAAUCUGGUAGCUAAUUAGAUACUAAUUUAUAAACUAUUUAUAAAUAAUAGAAACUAAUUUAGAAACCAAUAAUUUUGGUAGUCUCUACCUAAAACGAUCUCUAAUUUAAUCACUAAAACAACUAAUUAUUAUUUUUUUUUUUAAAUUAUUUUUUAUUUAGUUUAUUUUCUUGUAGUGUAAUAUGUAUUUCGUUUUAUGGAAAAGAAAAAAAAACUAUUCAUGUUUAAGUUUAACAUUCAGUUUCAUAUAUUAACAGAAUUUUCGGAAAAUCAAACUUAGUCAACAACAUCUAACAUUAAACUUAAAAUCUUAAACUAAAUUUUAAAAACUCUCCCAGAGAUCAUGAGUCCACGGUUUUUGUUCUAUCUUAAUUUUUACUUACACCCCCUCUCUUUAAUUGAGUGCACCUCUAUUUUUUUAAUCUUAAUAUCCAAUAGGUUAAGCCAAAAUUUUAUUCUUAUUUCUCAAUUAAACAUAGUUAUCUCUCUUCACUUAAAUAUAAAAUCCACCCUCUUGUAUAUUAUACAAAAAUAUCCUUAAUAUAAUCAAAACUUUAAAUCAAAAGUAAUUUAAUUAACGUUUUUUACAUAGUUCACUUCUAUCAGUCACAAACGCAAUUCCUUACAAUGUAAUAUAAUAAUAUAUUAUCAAAAUUAGGAAUUCCAAGAUAAUGAAUAAUACUUAUGACUGUUGCAAUUCCAAGAAAAAAAAGAAAACAGCACCUGAUAAUUACAUAUAUUAGACUUAAACAAAACAAAACCCAGGUUCUGGACUGAACCCAACCCAACAGUGACUUCACCUUCUGUAUUUGAAGCGGCGAGUUGAGUCUUACUCCAAAACUUCAUCGCCAUCCUUCUCUUACGUCUCUUCGUUCGAUCCUUUUCGAUUCAAAUGUCGAAUAGAUCUGGUCAGGGUAGACAAGACAACAACAACAAGGGUUUCACCAAAACCCAUUACCACAACAACUAUGUCCCCAAAAAUCCCAACCCAACCCUCUCAACCUCCCUCAGACAAACCCAACCGUCAAUCCCCGCCACCACUAGCGGAGCCCCAAACAGAGCCCAGAAUGGAAAUUUUGUUAAAUACUUACCACAAGACGAGGCCGUGGCGGCGGGUCUUGGCGCCGAAGAUGGAGCCUUGGAUCCCCUCGAAUCUCAGAGAGUCGUGGAUCUUUUGAACACACACUUGUCGCGCUUGCUCAAGUGCAAACCCAAGCAAUUCUGGACACAAGGUACUUCACUCAAUUAUUCUUCAUUCAUUCUCAAUCUAAUCUUAUCAAACCAUGUAAUACUGAGAGUAUUCAACUUGCUAUUGAAUUGUGUAAUGUGCUACGUUUAGAAUUUUUGUGUGAAGUUCGUGUUGAUGUUUUUAAUUGUAUUUGUAUUUGCAGUGGCUGCUGACACCUCCUUACAUGAGUUUUUGGACAGCUUCUUGCAAUUCAGAAACAGGUGGUAUGAUUUCCCUCAUCGCGGGGUGAAAGGGAUUGUUGCAGGUGUUAUUGUUGGGGAGCGCGAUUUGAGUCGCCGCGUUUUCAUGGUAUUGUAUCGCAUGUAAGUUUCUCAUGAGUUGGAGUGAUGCUCUGUUUUGGACUCUGUUUUUUUUAUCUGUGAUUUUUUGUAAUGUGUGUGCAUUGCAGUUCUUCGAAUAAAGACCCCGGUGCUCGACCGGCCGAUGCCCUCAGUUUGAGAGACCAUGGAGGUGGGAUCUCAUUUGACCUUUUUUAGGUUGUGGACAAUAUUAACGUUUUUGUUUGAGUGACCACUACAUGUUUUUUAUUACUAAUUCCUUUGUUAAGACAGCGCACAUACAUACUGUGUGCAUUUGUAAGUCUUGGCCCAGGCAGAGAUUGAACUCGCAUUGGAACAAUGAUUUUGUGCUGUUUUAGAAAUGUUAUUUGUAUACAAGAAAUAGGAAGUGUUUGGAAAAUUAUUUCCAUUGUGGAUUCUUGUCGAGUAAUUACCUCAUAUUUUGUCUUUUUGUAUUGUGAUUCACCGUUGUUCACUAAUUUUGCCUGUAGUUCUUUUGCAGGAGAAAAAGUUGCUUGAAUUGCCAAAGUUAUUGGAUAUAUGUGCCAUAUACUAUCAUGAAAAUGAAGAACUGACAAGAUCACUGGUAAGAAUUUCUGUUUAAUAGUAUAUUACCUGGUAUAAGGAUGAGCUUUGGCAUAACGGUAAAGUUAUGCCUUGGUGACCAGUUCAUCAUGGGCUCGAAUAAGGAAAUAGCUUCUUUGAAUAUGCAACCGAAAGGCUGUGUAUAAUUAUACCUUCGUGAAGUGAGGAGCCUUAGGCACUGGGAUACAUGAUUAUAUCUUUGAUACUUCUUUUUUGGUUUAUUUGCUCAAAAUAAUAGAUGAAGUUCAUUAAGAUGUUUUCCCUUAUUGCUUGUGAAAUAGAAUGCAUGACAGUAUUUGGUGUUCUCUCUUCCUCUCUCCUGAAGUAAACCAGUAUGCUUUAUUCCGUUGCUCUUUGUUUUAUUUUACACUUUGUCUUUCUGAGUUUUUUGGUUUACCUGAGUUAUACCUUCUCUGGAAGGGUCCUAUUACAUAAUUUGUUAAGAAAAAUAUAGAAGGAUAUUAAUCCGACAUUUUAAUUUUGUCUGCAUUACACCCAUACACAUUUUAUGUUCUUAUUUGUAGCCAUCUCAAUCUAAGGGGCAGUUCUAUGUAAAAUUUGUUGUGGAAUUGAAGGUCUUCCUUUUUGUGCAUUUCACUUUCAUUUCUUACUUUUCUCUUUUUGACUGUCUCAGGUCAGAAAUGCCUUGAAUGCUCAACCUUGGCUCCAUAAUAAUCUGACUGCAGUAAUAUCCCAUUUUCUAGGAAUUGUCAGCACAAUGCAUGAACGUUGCAGCUCAUCAUUGGAGGUAUUCUUGUAAUUUGAAAGUGAAACUGAAUAUCCAUAAUGUUAAUAGCUUUUUUUUCUGCUUUGAGUUUUUACUGUCUUUUAGUUGGCUAUUAAAGUUUUUUUGUUGGUGAGAAUAUUAAUUUUGUUUGCUCUUGUUAUGAAAAGUAUAUGUUACGUAUUGAAUCAUAUUAUUUGUUAAAUUGAUAAGUUUAAUUUUGAUGUCCAACAAACUGUUUUGUUUCAUAUUAUUUAUAUUAUGCGGAAGAGCUUCUUCAUUGUUUUAUUAGAAUUUAUACUUUCAACACAACAAAAGGAUAAUCUAGGCAGGCACAUGCCUCCACACAUUACCAAAGAAAAGGUGGGGAGAGGAAAUGACUUUUAGCGGAGACAUAAUUAACAAUAGUUUGUUGGAUGAUGUGUUGAGAAAACUGGUUUGUACCAUGUGCAUACAUCACUGUUUCUGUAUUAUUUGGAUGUAUGCACAGAACAUGCAUAUUUUGAUCUUAUAAAUUUAAGUUAUUAAUUCAUCAUUUUUUGGUUAGAAGAUAUAGUAUUUAAGCUUGACUCCUUCACUUUUCUUCUUGAGUUCCCUUUGAACAUCCUUUAGACCAAUAAUGUGCCCGAAGACCUUCUUUCUCUUCCUUCCAUAAGUUAUUUGACUUAUGUAGAAUGCAUUAACGGAUAGAAAUGUUUUUCAGAAAACUAUUUAUAAGUGACUGAAUGUCUAAAUCUUGAUGGAAAGUUCAUGUGCAUAAUUAUGGUAUAAAGGAGGAAAUUACAAUGAAAAUUAAAGCUUUCGUUUGGGGAUUAUGUACAGGUUUUAUUUUCUUCUGGAAAUCUCGAUCACCACAAUGCUGCUUUUCUCCAAGCUGAUCUGCUGGAGGUGAGUCACAUUAUUCUUUUUCCCUGAAUUGUAGCCCAAAUACCCAAUAUUCUUUUACAGGGUGAUAAAACAGAUAUUCAAAUUCUGUAUCUAUAAGUUUGUAAUUUUCUACAUCGAGAUAACUGUUUGGCUUAGUCUCACUAAGAAAGUUGAGUGGAUUUAUGUUCCCCAUUUUUAAUGAUCCAUUUUUUGGAAAAGAGUCAAGAGGAAAAAUACAACUAUGGAAAGGCAGCAUGAAAGUGCAACUGGAUAGAGUUUGCAAAAAAGGUGGAGUCAAAACAGUUGAAUAUGUAGCAUUUAAAACUGCGGUAUGGGAAUGACCAGCUCAUGGUGCUCUUAAGCAUUUGAGUUGAGCAUCUAGAUUCUGGAAUACCUUUCUUUUCCUAGUUACUCCCCAUUAUAUGUGAAGUUACCUGCUACUGCAUCCAAUCCCAGCAACCUUCUCGGGGAUAAUCCAGAAACUUUGAAUUUAUGGCAUUGACCACAGCAACCACAGCAAAUUAAUUGUAAAUAGUGUUUUCCCUAUCCCACUAAUAAAGCCUUAUUUCUACAAUGUCAGAUAUUUGAUAGACAAUAAUUACUGUUUACUGCCAUAUUUCAAGGCUAUUGAAGUAGAAUUUUGCUGUGCCAAAUGACAUGCCAGGCAAUUGUCUAUUCUCCCUGACAUAAUUUCUUAAAAAUAUAUAGCAUUUAGAUUGAGGGCGAGUGUUGGUGUAAAUGAUAAAGUUGCACCUUAUUGACCCACUAGUCAUGGGCUUCAACCCAGAAACAGUAUCUCAGCACAUCUAAAGGGAAAAUUGAGUACAACUACUUCCCUCCAUACCUUUGUGUAGUGAAGAGCCUCUGGCAUUGGGUAGAUUAGUUUUUAAUGUAGCAUUUAGUUUAUCCACAAUAUAUGUAGUUGUUCUAAAUAUGCAGCAUAAUGAUGAUGCCAUCUGUUUUUGUUACAGGUGAUGGACUUUAUAAAUGAUGCAAUUGUAUCAAUGGAUUCUUUUGUUAGUUCAUACGGACCAGCAGCUGUAUUCUUUUCUUGUCCAGUUGAAAUGAGGUAUCCUUUACCUCUGAAACUUGAAUUUUUAAGACUGAAGACAGAAUGUGAUAAAUUUCCAUGGGAAAUGACUUAUCAAACAUUGCAUCUGAUGUAUCAUGCGUAAAAUAUUUGUGUUGGUUAAUUUAUCUAAAUAGAAUAAAUUAAUAAUAUUUGCCAAUUUAAAAAUUUUCUUCAAGACUUUGAUUUUUUUCUGUUCUGUGUAAUUUGUUUAGUUAUGGGAAUGAGGAACUGAUGAGCCUCCUUGCGAGAUUGCAUGAUUCACUAAUUCCAUCAUUGCAAAAGGGAUUCCGUAUGCUUUUUUCUGACAAACAUGAUGCCACAUCAUCUAAUAUCUUGGUUAGUCUGAAGAUGUUAAAAAUAAGAUUGGUAAAGUUUGGUUGGCAACUAUUGCACUUGUGCUAUCUAAGUGAUGAAGUGUUCAGAGAUAGCUUCCCUCUUCCAGCUGCCACUAAGAUGUUUCCUGCCAAUGUAGAGGACCCAGUCAUCAGAGCAGAUAUUCUGGUUCAAACAUUUCGAGAUAUCAAUUCUGUAUCAGCCCAUUCUCGGGAAAGCCAUCAGAAGGAAACAUUUCUUCAAGAUGUUGAAAGAAAUUUCAAUAUACUGAGUAGGAUUGAUAGAUUAAAGGAUAGUGGUAAUGAUCAUUUUUAUAGUAGUAGUGUAUAAUCUCUUUCAUAUAUUUGUGUAGCAUAAAUUGCUUGGCUUAGUAUGGUUAAUGGUAAAAAGCUUGAUCUAGCAAAUUUUUUAGUGGGCUAAUCCAUCUCUCCCCUAUAAGAUAUAAAGUGGAACUAGAUCUAUCUGAUCCUUCAAAAUUAUAUUUUAAAUCGUUUCAUUUUUUCAUUAUGUUAGCAAUGUAGCAUAUGCUUGGGCCUUUUCCUUUUCUAAUUCAGUUACUAUGAUACAGGAUGGAUAUUCAUUGAUGAUGAACAGUUUCAAUAUCUAUCGGGGAUGAUGAGUUCGGUGAAAGAGAUUUAUAAGGACCCAUAUUCUGCUACAGCCCCUGUGCCAAAACAAUCAUUACUGACGGAUGAAGAUGCUGCAAUUGCAGAGUCAAACAUCAGUCAAAUUAGGGACCUGUUCCCUGAUUACGGUAAAGGAUAUUUAGCUGCGUGUCUUGAGGUUUAUGACCAGAAUCCAGAAGAGGUUAUUCAAAGAAUUUUAGAGGGAACCCUUCAUGAAGAUCUGCAGAACCUGGACACCUCGCUAGAGACAUUGCCACCGGCCAAGCCUACCACCGUGGGGAAUGAUAAAGGAAAAGGUAAAUUAAUUGAUUCUACGUCAGCAUCCUCAAAUCCAGAAGUUGUCAGGGGGAAGCAACAGACGGAGGGGUCAUUGAUGUCAUCCACUGCUUCACUAGGAAAAUUUAUAAGGAAAUCUAAAGCUGACUUGCCUGAUGUCAGUAUUCUGGAUAAAAAGGACGAGAAAGAUACCUCAAAAACUGCUGCUAUGAUUUUACAAUAUGAAUAUGAAGAUGAAUAUGACGACUCUUUUGAUGACUUGGGUUUAAGUGUAGCGGACUCUGGAUUAGAAGAAAAUGAGACACUUGGUGCCCAAAUAAAUUCAAAAUCAGGGAAAUCGUGGGCAACAGAGAGUGGAAACUCGGUAAAAGAUGUCCCUGAUUCAAAAUGGGGCUCUAGGAAAAAACCACAGUACUAUGUCAAAGAUGGUAAGAAUUACAGCUACAAAGUGGCUGGUGCAGUAGCAGUUGCAAAUUCUGAUGAAGCUUCACUAGUAACGCAAGCUCAGAAAGAGUUAAUACAUGGCCUUGGACGAGGCGGAAACCUUCCUCUUGGUGCAGUAAAGAAGUUGACAGAUUCCAACAAGGAGGAUGAUAACCAAUUCCAGGUUUCUGAAACGGAAGGCAGUGGGGUUCCGGGCAAAUCUUUUGGUAGGGGUAGGAAGGAAGGUGGUGGAAGACAGAUUGCUGCAUCUCAUCAGCAGCCUGUGCAACAAUCUGAUGAUUCUGAGGUGGAUGGGAAUAACCAAAUGGGUAGAGGAAGAGGUAGAGGGAGAGGGAGGGGCAGAGGAGGAGGAAGAAACAAUCACCACCAGAAGGACCGAUCCAUGAAGAAGCACUUCUCUGGAGUGAGCGGUUUUUAAGCGCAUAAGUUACUCAUUUCAUAUUUCUUACUUGCCAAGAUACCAUAUUCAUGCAUCUGCUCGGUAACCAACCAUUUGGCUUUUGUCUACAUGCGAAACCUUUUAUGUCGCAGGGUUAAAGUUCAAUGAGAUGCAUAGAUUGUUCUACACGAUUCAUACAUAGUGUGGCAUUAUCGAAUGUGCAGUCGGCAAUCUUGAUGCCAACUUCCUCUACAUACAACAGUAUAAUGUCUGUAAUGUUUAAUUUAACCUCACCCGGAAUUGAAUUUUGUUUAGAAGAAAGAUUCGGGUGUAUUUUAGCCAAUAUUUCCUUAUACAGUUACGCAUAACUCCCAACACAAUAAUUGUGUAAUGGUGUUCAUCUGUUGUUAAUUUACAUUCGAACGAUGAGCAAUUAAUUCUUCUACGUAUUCCUCCUUUUAGUGAACUUGUACCGAGUCCGGAUUAAGGUGCAAUCCAAGGAUUUGCAAUUUAUCUUUGAUGUUCUUUUCAUUUAGAAGGUAACAAUCAUAUAAUUUCCUUUAGCCAAUUUACGAUCUAUGAUUUUUGUAAACGUAAAUUAUAUGUUAGUUUUCCCUAAUUGAUGUCAUUAAUAUUAUAUUAAACAUAGUUAAAAGAAUUGAAAGCUGUGUAGCACAAACUUUGAUAUGGACACAAUACUCGGAUAUAGACACGGAUACAGAAAUACAAAAUGUAUGACACAGGAACACAAGAUUUAUAUACACAAAUAUGUCAAGAUUUAUAUACACAAAUAUGUCAAGAUGUAAAUUAACUAAAGGAAAUUGGCACUAAAGGAAAUUGGCACAAUAAAGAAAUUAAAUUUAUAAUCAUGAUAAAAAUUUAAACAAGAAGUUUGAGUUUUUAGAAAAUUAAUAUAUUUCUCCUUUUUAAAAUUAUGUUAAAACUAUAUUAAACUGGUUAGAAAUUCAACAAAUAUUUUUUGAAUUGGACACUUUAUUGUCUUAUCCUACGAGUGUCGGUAUCCAAUAUGUCUGACAUACAUCAUUUAAGAGAGUGUCGAGUCUUCCGGUAAAAUUUGUGUUAAUUUCAUUUGGAAUAUAAUUUUUUAAAAUAUAAUUUUAUUUUAACAAGCAAAAUUACUCCAUUAACUUAAAAUAGCUAUAGUUUUCUCAUCAUCCAAAAACUAGUCCCAACUAAUUAGAUUCGCAUAAUUGCAUGUUUAAAUGCGCAAAACCACUUGUCCAACAUGAUCGAGUUUUUGCAUCAAGGGAAAGGAGGAAAACACGAGUCCAUACACUUAAUUGCUUGUCUCUCUGUUUUUAUCUUUGAUUUUUUUUCUUUGUAACAACAGUAAUUGUAAUAUUUGACUCUUCAAUAAAAUAUCCAACUAUUCUUACAAAUUUCAAUCAUUGAAAUCAAUUGCAAAACUUCAUUUUAGUCAAAAGCAUAAUAAUAAUUAAAACUUCUUGUUUCUCUCCAAACAAAUGUAUUUUAUGAAAUCAAGCCUUGAUUUUCCCUAAAAGCUUAAUAUAAGUUGCAAUCUAAGCCAUACUUGUAGACUUCUUACAUAUCGUUAUUGCAUAUCAACACUUCAGUGAUCCCCCAUAAUUAUUUCCUACUUUAGAUAACUUAAAAUGUCUUCAGCUGUGUCAUAAGCAAGCUACAAUUGUCAACAUUACAGUUCUAUUCCAAUCAAAAAUGUUUUUUUAAAAUAAAUUGUUAGACUGUAAUCAAAAUUUAAUAUACACUCUGAUGACAAAUACCAUGGAGACUAAAAUUCCAAUUAAAAUUAAAAAAAACAAAGAUGGUCGUACCUGAAGCUUUUGUUUUUGUUUUAGUCAACUCCUUCUUCUCUUUAUUACAGCAGACACCACAUUCAUUCGGAAACUCCGAUGAAAUGAAGGACAUAACAACCUUCACCUCGACAACAACAAUGGACCCCAGAGUCUGGAGCAAACUACCUCCUGAUGUUGUGGAACACAUACUUCUGUUACUCCCUCUCAAGACUCUCUUGAACCUCAGACCCACUUGCAAGGCCUUCUCCUCUCUUCUCUUCUCUCCUUCCUUUGUCUCCAAACACUCUUCUUCAUCAUCAUCAUCAUCAUCAUCAUCUUCUUCUUCUUCUUCUUCUUCCUCACCCUUCUCUUCCUUUCUCUUACUCUCACACCCUCAGUGCCCUCUCUACUUCCGUCUCUACGAUUCCAACCUUUCCUCUUGGCUAACCAUCUCUCCCUCUCUCCCUUUCUCAUCUUCCUUCUCUCUUGUAUCCUCCUCCGGUGGCCUCUUUUGUCUCUUCAACCCCUCUUCCUCUUCCUUUCUCGUAUGCAACCUCUUUGCAAAGACCUCAAGAAGGAUCGAAUCCCCAACUCACUCUCUUCACUUCACCCACCUAGCUCUUGUCACCACCCCUCUUAGCUACAACUUAGUGCUUCUUUCUUCAAAGUCAACCUCCAACACUGCCUUUGUCUACAACUCCAACCACCUCUCGUGGAAGCGCUUCGAGGGGUUCGAUGCUAUCCUCAGCGACAGUUGUCACCAGCAGGGCACUUUCUUCCACGGGGGACUGUACUUCACCACCCCGGAGCCGUUCUCCGUGGUGCGUUUGGAUUUGGAGAGUGGGAAGUGGGAGAGGCACGUGGCUGAGUUGCCCCAGCAACUGACUUUCGUGAGGCUGGUCAGUGAUGACGAUGGAGAGGGAAAAUUGUAUUUGGUCGGUGGGGUUGGAGCCGAUGGAAUCUCCAGAAGUAUCAAGUUGUGGGAAUUAACGGGUGAAGGGGUUUGGGUGGAAAUGGCGGCGCUGCCUGAGAUUAUGUGCAGAAAAUUUGUGUCGGUUUGUUACCAUAACUAUGAACAUGUUUAUUGCUUCUGGCAUGAGGGUAUGAUCUGCGUUUGCUGCUACAUGUGGCCAGAGAUAUUGUACUACAGUGUUUCCAGGAGAAGUUGGGAUUGGCUUCCAAGGUGUCCUUAUUUGCCUCUGAAGUCUACCUGUGGUUUCAAGUGGUUUUCUUUUCUUCCAAAGCUCUAUGCUUCCGUCUGAGUUACCUUGUUUAGUUACAUGAGUACCAUAGUUCUUCGAUUCGAUGCUUCUUUAUUUGUAUUCUCAUGAACUCAUCUCUUGUUGUGGAUGUUGGAUAAUAAUGAUGAGAGUUUUCUGUGAUAACUUUGGGAAUUCAAACUAUCUGAUUUUGCUGAUUUCAUCUGCUUUACUGCAAGCAAUAUUACAAACAGUUCAAAUGCAUGGUAGUGUGAAAUAUCUUUUCUUCAUACUGUUGAUCACUAAUUUUCUUUUCUUAGUCACUUAUGUUUGAAAACUUUCUUUUCAAUCAAUUAACUCAACUCAUUUUACUCAAACAAAGCGAUCAUAUGCAAGUAUUCAUCAUGCUUUUUUCUUUUGUUUUUAAUUAAUAGAAGAAUUUUUUUAAAAGCUUUCUUGGUCUAUUUCUUUAUCUGAUGCCUUCUUUUUUCAUAUUUUUAAAGUUAUCUAUUAUUUUAAAUCACUCGAAUAACUUUUUAAUUCCUCCAACAAUUUUUAAAAUUUUUAUUUGCGGAAUAGACUCCACAAUGAACCUUUUAUCCUUUUAUUUAAUCUAAAAUAUGUAGAAAAUGUCAACGGAUACACUAAGGACUUUGACAUUUAUUAUUAUUAUUAUUAUUACUGUUUUAUAUAAAUACACAGUUGUAGGACCAUACAACUUUUAAGAGAAAGGUUUAAGUAAUAACCACGCCAUGCUUGACUCAAAUUUAUGAAACAAUUUUUCUAUACAUGUUCUUAUCAAACAUCAAGACUUUAAGCACCAUCUCGGAUCUGCUGUCAUAAAACUAACAACACUUUUCUUUUUCAAAUAAAUUAAAUUAAACACCUAUUAAUUAAAUUUUUCGUCAAGAAAAAUAGCUAAAAAACAUAGUGGGUGAAAACUGUGAAAAGAAACAUAUAGUGAAUGAAAAUAAAUUAGAAAUAAAGUAAACAUAAAAGAUUUUAAUGUAAGAGAAAUAAAAAAAUAAAAAUUGUAAAAAACUAAUUAUAAGUUAAAUAAUCCAUUAAAAAAACUAAAAAUUUAUUCCUUAUUAUUUUAUAAUUAAUUGAUUAAGAAUUAUAAAAUAACGAAAUUAUAUAUGAAAAUCAAUAAUAAAUGAAUAAGUCUUUUUACUCAAUUUCUUGCAUGCCUAUAGUAAAGAAAUUAAAACUAUAAACCUUUUUUUAUUGAACGAGAUAAGACUCUUUAAAAAUAUGUAUCUUUCUUCUUGUUGUAUACCAGUUUAUGUUUUUUUAUUUACUUUUGUCAUUUUUCUACAAAAUUUUAACCUUAAUAAGAAGAUUUGAUUUUUUUAGUAAUUUUUUUUUAAAAUAUAAUAAAGGUUAAAAUUCAAAGUUAUAAUGAGUAUACAAAUUAGAAUAUUAACAGCUUACUAUUUGUUUUCAAAACUUACUUUUUUUUAAAAAAAAUAUUUCCAUUAUUUUUACCUUUUAUUUACUUUUCUUAAAAAAAAAUAUUCUCUUUCUUUUUUUAUUAGAUGUUGUCACUGAAAUGAUGAUGGAGUGUAAUCAUUUCUGACGUACUAAAAUUUCUGAUAGAGUAAAUUUAUCUGCCCUAUAAAAAAUUUAAUUUUUGUUGUGAAUGUAGAUAUCUCACAAGUUUUGUUAUAUGAGAAGAUGACUUUUUAUAAAAAGUAACCUUAGAUUUUUAAUGUUUUUAAGGUGAUUGGUGUUCUUAGUAGUUUUACAUCUUUUAAUAUCUUAGGACAUCUCUAUCACUUGACAAGGGAAACGAAUAAGUUAAAUUUAUUUCUACUUAGUUUUAAAUUGAAAUGUAUACUUAACUAAAGUUGGGAUUUGAUGGCUUUAUGGUGUAUUUAUAUGUCACAAUUAAUGUUAAACUCAUUUGGAGGCUUAAAGUAGUCAUUUUGACAUAAAAUUUGUUCUUGACAAAAUGCAUAGUUAGUUUCAUUAUGUGUGUUUGAUGCUGUAUCUGGUUAGAACAAGUAAUUAAUGAGUAAAAUGUGUUUAAUAGAAUUUUGUAUAAUUAAAAUACUAUAGAUUGAUUUCAUAAUGAAGCUACAAUGAAGUUAUGAAACAUGUUAUAUGUAGAAUUGGUCAAUUUGGUGGUUGGGUACAUUUUAUAGUUUAUGAUAAUUUUAAUUAUAGAGAAGCAAGAAAUUUACGUGUUUCAAUUGGAUUGUUUUAAAUUUACAGAUUAUUUGAUAUAAGUUUUCUGGUUGAACAUGUUAAAAAAUAUUUGUGAUGUAAUAUGCUAAAAGAAAUAUUUUUCUUUUCAUUUGACCACUUCAAACAAAUUUUUGAAAAAAAAUUGUGUUUAAAUUUUACGGUGUAAAAAAAUUAACGGGUCAAUGUUGUUACGGAUAAGACUAAGACUAAUCUUUCUCUAGUGGACAGUAAAAUAUCUAUAACAAGACAAAAAAAAAAAAAAAUUCUUCUAACUUGUACCAUGUUAUUUUUUUAAUUAUGGCUAGCAUUUUUAAAAUACCACUUUACUUAAAAAAUGGAUCGAUCAGGUAGGAGGGACUAUACUUCUUGUUAUAUAAAAGAAUAGAUACACAAAUGCAAAUUAUGUUUUUGAGAUUAAUCAUUAUAUAAGUUUAUUUUUAAUUAUGGACUUUCUUAAAAAUAGUUUAAAUAAAUAAUUUAAAUAUACAAAUUAAGGGAGGAUAAUACUAGAGGAUGAAAGAAAACUAAAUUAUAUAUUUAUUAUAAUUUAUAGUAGAAGAAUAAGUACUUCUUCUAGUAAUAUUAGUGCAAAAAAUGUAUAUGAUAUCUAUAUUUCAGUUCAGAUAAAUCUGUCCUUUAACAAAAUAAGGUUACAAUUUUGUGAAUUAAGACAAAAAAAAAUAUAAUUAUUAUAACAACGUUGCCUAUUUAAAAAUGAAAAAUAUAAAUGACAAUUGUAUUAAAAAACUGUAGUCUAUCCUCUAGACAACAAUUUACGUAGUUUAUAUGUUUACUUAUUUGUAAUUUGUAAUAUUUUUUUUCGUGUUAUCUUCUUUGUUGUUGUAAUUUUUCUUUGUUGCUGCUUUUUUCUUUGUUGUUGUUUAGGAAGCUCAGACAUUUCUCUUAAAUAGUGUGUUGGUGUCGGAUACUCGUAUAACAUUUGUAGAACACGUAUCCGUGAAAUGUCAAAUUCAAACAAUAUUUGUUGAAUUUCUGACAAUUAUAGUACGGUUCUAACAUAAUUUUUUUUUUAAAAAAAAUACAUUAAUUGUAUAAAUUUUUAUUAAGAUUAUAAAAGUAAGAAAUAAAUCUUUUUGAACCAGUCAUGAAAAAUAUUUUUCUGUUCCAAAAACAAAUUUAAAACAUACUUAUGCACAUAAAUUUUUAUUUUUAAUUUAUAUAAUAUAUAUAUUCGUAUCCUCGCAUCAUAUAUUUUAAAUAUUAUACGUAUCUAUGUUCCGUUUAUGUAUGGUAUAUAAUAAGUUGCUGCUUUCUCCUCUCUACGCUUUUAGUACUUAUCUUCGCUUGUUGUGUUGUUUUCGUUUUUUAUACUUUAUAUGAUUUGUUCAUUCCAUUUUCAGUGAUAUAACGAGUUGGUCCUAUUUCAAAGGUCUCUCCUCACCUUCGCAUACCUGGGCCACCUUGGAAGCUCACCUACAAAUCCUCCGCGUGCACCUCCCUUACUAGCUUAGUAGUUUUAUUAUUAGUUGUAAUUGUAAAAUUAUAAUUUAUUAAUUAGUCAGAUUAUUAUUUGAAUUUUUAGUUAUAUUAUUAAUUAGAUUAUUAGUUAACUUAUUAUUUAAAUUAUUAGUUAAGUUAUUAAUUUAAUUGUAAUAUUAUAAUUAUUUAAUUAGUUAGAUUAUUAUUUAAAUUAUUAAGUAGAUUAUUAGUUAAGUUAUUAUUUAAAUUUAGUUUAAUUGUAAAAUUAGAAUUGAUUAAUUAUUUAGUGUUCUUGCCAACAAUUAUGGGUUGGAUCCAUGAGUGGUUUUCAGAUCGAUCUUUCAAUAAUGCAACUUUGAGAUGCUUGAAAAAGAGUUUCACAUGUUGACAAGAUUCAAACGAUCAAGUGUGUAUUGUGUAUUGUCUGGAAUAGUGCUUACCUUUGUCUGAGAUCUCAAAGUCUUUUAAUAACACUCCUUGAUCCUUCUUCACGAAUUGGUAACAACAUCAUAAAUUAUCAGUAUAUUCUCCUUUAUUUUAGGGGUGAUGAUACACAUAAUAUCAUCUUUGGUUUUUUCCACCGAACUCGUGUCAAAAGAUAAUAUAAUUAAUUGAUUCAGUUGUAUCAAAUAUUUAGGUUAUUUUUUCUUUUAGUGCAUGAUGUUUAACACACGCGCUACCUGUCAAACCCAACCUCUUUGGUCUUAUUGAGUUUGUCUUCAUUUAGACCGAAGAUAUAUAGAGUGCACAAUCUCUAUUAGGCCCGAGCUUAUUCGAUAGAAGAGUCAUACUUUACAUGAUUGGAUCCUGACCCGAUCAUGGCUGACCCGUACAAUUAGGUUAUUAUUUAAAUUAUUAGUUAGAUUAUUAGUUAGGUUAUUAUUUAAAUUAUUAGUUAUGUUAUUAGUUGUAAUUUUAAAAUUAGAAUUGGUUAAUUAGUUAGAUUAUUAUUUGAAUUAUUAGUUAGAUUAUUAAUUAGAUUAUUAGUUAAGUUAUUAUGUAAACAUAGAUUACGAGUUUAAUUGUACAAUUAGAAUUAUUAAUUAGUUAUAUUAUUAUUUAAAUUAUUAGUUAGAUUAUUAUUGAUAUUAUUAUUUAGAGCAUUAGUUAGAUCAUUAUUUAAAUUAUUAAUUAUAUUAUUAAUUACAUUAUUAGUUAGAUUAUUAUAUAAAGUAUAGUUAAAUUAUUAUUCAAGUUGUUAGAUAGAUUAGUCCAAUUUUCCAUCCAUGCGUAAUCUCAGCCGUCAAUCUUGAUAUUCCUUUUCUAUAUAUACCCAAGAUCUUUGUAGAGUAUGGUGAUUGAGUUUCCGUUAACUGAGUUUUGUUGGUAUUGUUUCGGUGGGUGAUUGAGUUUUGUUGAAAUUGCUAUGUUAUUGAUUUUUUUUAAGUAUUGUUUCGGGCACACACUUCUUGAUCAAGUCUAAGGUUUGUCGAAUUAUUUGAUGUUUGCGAUCCAUCUUUUGUCAGAUUGAAGAACGCAAAACCUAUUAGUAAGUUCAUUUACGCUCUGAUUGGAUUGAAGAACGCAAUAAGUAUAUUCAUUUACUCUUCUGUUGGAUUCUUCUGUUGGAUUGAAGAACGCAAGAAUGAUUAGUAAAUUCAUUUACACCAAUUCCGAAUGUGAUUCUUUAUGUGAUGAAGGUGAGUUUUGAAUCUUUUAAUCAAAUUCCUUUAUCCCUUUUCUGCUGGUGGCUGGGUCUUGAGAUUUGUUUUGUCCAUGGAUGAAAUGAAAAACAUAAUAGUUUGGAAAGGCCAAUUGAUCCAAGUCUUCUUAUAGUCUUUAUCUGCAUCUUCAUCUUCGUAACGUUUCUAAACUUCUUCCUUUUAUUAUGAGCUUAGUUCGUUUUCUUGAAUUUUUGCCUGCACAGGAUAGUUCAUUUUCUUGAAUUUUUGGCUGUAGGACAUGAUGUGAAGUAUUAUGUUUUUGGCUGCAGGAUAGCUCUAUUUACUUCUUUUGGGUUGGGGUCUCACGAUUUGUGAUAGGAUAUGGAAGCAGUACUGUAUCUUAUUGUUAACAAUAUUUCUUAAUCUUAGUCCUUGCUGAUUUUGCUCUUUAUUAUUUAAUGUUUUUGGAUUUACCUAACUGUGAACUUGUUUCUCUACAAUAGUAUUUCAAAGUGUUUUUUGUAAUCUUCGUGCCCUUGGUUUUAAAUAUGUGGCUUCCCUUGAUUUUUGGAUUUAUGAAUUUACCUUAUUGUUUCUUUACUUUGUCAUGUCAUCUUUUUUAGAAGAUUAGUUUUCUCAAAUCACCAUGUAUCUUCUUGAGCUUUUACAUGAGCAUCAGGUUUUGGAAACAGUGGAUGGAGAUAGAGUUAAACUUUAGGUUUUAUUAUCUUUGCAUUCAUUAUGCUGAUAAAAAAAAUCUUUGCAUUCAUUAUUUUCUUUGUUAUUGGACUUACUCUGUAGUUUUAUUAUGUUUCCAUCCACUAUUUUUCUUAUGUGCUCGAUUUGGAAUGUCUACAAUCUCUUUUAUUGGUUGGAUAGUUGUAAGGUACCUGUAUUUGUCAUUGUCUAAGCAAGAGCUAUAAACCUCUCUUCAUGAGAGGCAUUAUAAACCUCUAUGUCAGCGAUUUUAUUUCCUCUUUCUAUUCCACACUCAGACAUUUCUCUCAGCAAUGAAGUCAUUUAAUCACAGCCUUUCGUUUCGUUUCCUUUCAUUUCCUUUGUUGUCAAAACAACCUUUGGGUCUUUCUUGCUUCUUGACUAUGGUAUUUAGUUUCACUAUGUUCUCAGGACGUGUUAUUUGGAAGUGAUGUGGUUAUUUAUUCGAGGAUCGAGUUCCAUUCCUUUAGACUUGCAUUUGUUUGUGUUCAUUGCUAUCAAACAACUUUCUUCUUUUUAAGUUUAUAGAGCCCUUUAUUUUUUAAUGAAACCCACUAAAUGUUAUUUAUUUAUUUUUCUUUCUUUUUCAUCAUUUCCUACUUAUUUGUGUUUCUAAUAGGCUUGGGAUGCGUUUUGGGUUUAUAAGAGUAUUAGAGGCACUUGAAUUUGGGGAGGAUUUGUCUUUUACUAUGUGGUUGGUUGUUGAAGCAGUGGCUGUUUUGGGAAUUUUGGUGAUCUUGUACUCCUUACUGAAACGAGACCUCAUCUUAUUGAGUGCUAUAUUUCUCAAUUUUGAGACUCAUUUUAUUGAUUGCUAUAUUUCUCAAUUUUAAUCCCUUGUUGAUCUUGUAUUUUGGGACAGCUAACAUCUUUGCACACUGAAGAUUAAUUUACUCAAUGAUCGAGAAACAAAUUGUAUGUAUUUUAUAUUUAGUGUGCAGUAUAGUGCUAGAACUGUGUGUGAACAGCUCAUGUAACGUACAUGAUCUGGUGAUGUAUCUCUGAUUUUGGGAUCUGUAUUUUUUUCUAUUCAAUUUAUAUUGAGUGUUUAGCGGUUUUCAUGAUACGGUAGUUUUUUCUAUAUGAUAAGUACAUCCAGUUUUAAUUGGAUAUGAUGACAGAGAUCUAUCAUAUGUAACUGUUUAUCUGCUUGUGUUAGUUCCUUUUCAGCAGGAUCCCAGUUGAUGAUUAAAAAACAUAAAGUUCUUGUUUGAUUAUUGAAAUCUAUCCAAUUUAUCUGUUAGAUCUGUGAUUAUGUUGAUUCCUUUCUAGCACAUUAAAGGUUAAUAAUAAUACAAUGCUCAGUGAAGAUGUCUUCCUUUUAUUUGAAACACUUGCCAGGGGAUCUGUGAAGCUUUAGGUUUUGGUACCCUUACAUUUCUUAUAUCUUUAUUUGUGACUGACUAAACUUCUUGAGAAUGAGAAACAACAGUAUUAAAUAUUAAACAACAGUAUUAAAUUAAAAAGGUUUUUCUUACUACAAUUAGUUCUUUCUUCACCACUCCGAUAACUAAUUAAAUAUUUACUUUCAUUAGAAUGUAGAUUAUGUGAAUGAUAUAUUUUAAUGUUGGCUCAUAAAAUAUUUUUAUAGUAAUCAUUAAACAAAUGUUUGGUAUACACUCAUAUUUAUCAUACUUCCUUCAAGUAGAUCUUUAAUAAUUUUUUUUAUCUGAAUGGGUUACUGGAAUUAUUAAUUUUUUUAAAAAAAUAGAAUGAUUUUUCUUUUGUGAUUUUUAAUAGAAGCUUACAUCAGUUAUUAGGGGUCACUGAUAUGUUUUUUCACCCUAUAUUGUCUGGAAAUCUUUUCUAUGUUUUCUAAUUUGAACCAAAGGAUUCCUAAAUCUUUUCCUGAAAAACAUUAUUUUAUGUGCUUUCUUUAUUUAUUUAACCAGUCAUGAUAAAAAGCAAGCAAAGAGUGUAGUGAGCCUGUUUUAACUUUACAGUCAUGCAAUGUUUAUUAGUAGGUUCACAUUCAUAAAUACUUUGAUUUCAGGAAUUCACAAAAUUCAAUUACAAUUCCUAUUUCAGUAAGAUUUUUUUGGUCAAUAAGUUUUUUAACAUCUUUUGUCUUUUAGAAAUUUUUUAAACCAUUUUAUACAUACACUUUAUUAAAUAUAUAGUCCUACAGUGACACUAGUCCUGCUAAAUUAAAGAAAAUUCUAUUUUUGUGUGGAGGGUAAUCCUUAUUCUUAACUUCUUUUAAAAGGACGAAUGUAAAUUGCUGAUAUAUGACUUGUAUGCUUUCACAAUUGAUCUUUGUUUGGAACGAAAUUAUGAAACAACUUACCUUAACCUGCAAUUAAUUUAUAUUUGUUGUGUAACUAUUCACUCCAUAUCCUUCUUGAAGAUAUCUCUUUACUAAAAAUAGUAUAGUUGAUAUAGAGUUAAUUCAUAGUAAAGGUUAACCUUGAUCUCUUUCACCAUAUCAAUUUCAACAUGCAUCCUACCAUUUAAAUUUUCCAAUUUUAUUCUGAAAUUGGUAGGAUAGUGGCCUACCAUGGUGGUGACGGGUGACGAAGAAUUAGGGUUAGAUUCCGGAAAGGGAGCCUGAGAAACGGUACCACAUCCAAGAAAAGCAGCAGACACGCAAAUUGUCCAAUCAUGAUAUGGGGAGGUAGUGACAAUAAAUAACAAUAUCGGUUUCAUUGAGUUUGGUAAUUAGAAUUAGUACAAUCUAACACCCUUAACGAGGAUCGAUAUGAGGGCAAGUCUGGUGCUAGGAGCCACAGUAAUUCCUGCUUCAAUAGCGUAUAGUUAAGUUUUUGUAGUUAAAAAUCUCAUAGUUGGACCUUAUGUAUUUUUUUAAAUGUUUGAACAGUUGGUUUUGUCAUUGCAGGGAGGAGAUGGAUGGGUGGUUCUAGGUUUGGGAAACAUGGAUCAGGACCCUGUGGAAAUUUAGGUUUUAUUCUUUGCAUUUAUUAUUUUCUUUGCUGCUAUUAUUCAGGGAUAAACUUGUGGACUGAGAAUACUUACCUCUUCAUGAGAGGCACUAUAAACCUGUGUCAACGAUUUUAUUUUCUCUUUCUAUUCCACACUCAGAUAUUUUUCUCAGCAACGGAGUCAUUUAAUAACAGUGUUUCGUUUCGUUUCCUUUCAUUUCCUUUGUUGUCAAAACAACCUUUGUGUCUUUCUUACUUCUCGGCUAUGGUAUUUAGUUUCACUACGUUCUCAGGAUGUUUUAUUUGGAAGUGAUGUGGUUAUUUAUUUGUGGAUUGAGUUCCAUUCCUUUAGACUUGCAUUUGUUUGUGUUCAUUGCUAUCAAACAACUUUCUUCUUUUUAAGUUUAUAGAGCCCUUUAUUUUUUAAUGAAACCCACUAAAUGUUAUUUAUUUAUUUUUCUUUCUUUUUCAUCAUUUCCUACUUAUUUGUGUUUCUAAUAGGCUUGGGAUGCGUUUUGGGUUUAUAAGAGUAUUAGAGGCACUUGAAUUUGGGGAGGAUUUGUCUUUUACUAUGUGGUUGGUUGUUGAAUCAGUGGCUGUUUUGGGAAUUUUGGUGAUCUUGUACUCUUUACUGAUACGAGACCUCAUCUUAUUGAUUGCUAUAUUUCUCAAUUUUGAGACCUCAUUUUAUUGAUUGCUAUAUUUCUCAAUUUUAAUCCCAUACUGGUCUUGGAUUUUGGGACAGCUAAUAUCUUUGCACACUGAAGAUUAAUUUACUCGAUGAUCGAGAAACAAAUUGUAUGUAUUUUAUAUUUAUUGUGCAGUAUAGAGUUAGAACUGUGUGGGACAGCUCAUGUAACGAACAUGAUCUGGUGAUGUAUCUCUGAUUUUGGGAUCUGUAUUUUUUUCUAUUAAAUUUAUAGUUUAGCAGUUUUCAAGAUACGGUAGUUUUUAUAUGAUAAGUACAUCCAGUUUUAAUUGGAUACCCUUUAUUAGCAACAGUCCUUUUGGAAUAGGAUUUGUUUCGGCAUAAAUCUGAAAGUUCAACUUGAAACAGCAGCUCAUGAUAGUGUUUUCUCUCUCAACAAAACACUAACCCGACGCUUCAUGUGCAAGGAAUUUGAAGCGGCUAGGUGAGGCACUCAAGGGAUGUGUCUCGCCGGUCACGUGACCUGUUAUGUAAAAUGACUCUCGGCAACAGAUAUCUCAGCCCUUGCAUCAUCAAUGAAGACCGUAGCAAAAUGUGAUACUUAUGUGAAUUGCAAAAUUCCGUGAGCCAGCGAAAUGCGGAUUUGCUUAGCACUACCAUCUGCAUGAAGUUGAAAAUUAAACAAGAACUGCUCAAGAUAACCUAAUUUCUUAUGUGUUGAGCCGGAGUUAAUCACCAUACAUUAAUAUUUGAUUGUGAUUUGUUUGUCUGCAGCAGGGUUUUGUUUAGUUGUGUGAUGACCUGUGUCUUAUCGAGCCUUUUAUGAGCAACUAAGUCUCCACUGGUUUUUGAAUUCCUUAAGUUUAAAUAUAGUUCUUAAAUUUUUUAUGUCUAGGUGUUGAUUCGUUUGUGUUCUUUCCUUUUUAGCAUGUAAGACUGGUUGAGGAUUAAAAUCGCAAGUGUACACGAAAGACAUGCAACAGAUGUGAGGUAAGAUAUCUAAAUACCUGAAGGAGAUCCUUGAUACUUUAGACUGCGUUUUAUGUCUAGUUUCUUUCUUACUUCUCAGCUAUCGUAUUUAGUCUUGGGUUGUGUUAUUUGGAAGUGACGUGGUUAUUCAUUCGAGGAUUGAUUCCAUUCCCUUCUACUUGCAUUUGUUUGUGUUCAUUGCUAUCAAACAACUUUCUUACUUUUCCUACUUAUUUGUGUUUCUCAUAGGCUUGGGAUGCGUUCUGGGUUUAUAAGAGUAUUAGAGGCACUUGAAUUUGGGGAGAAUUUGACUUUUACUGUGGUUGGUUGUAAAAGCAGUGGCUGUCUUGUGAAUUUUGGAUAUGAUCUUAUACUCUUUACUGGUCUGAUCAUCUUAUUGAUUGCUAUAUUUCUCAAUUUUAAUCCCUUAAUGAUCUUCUUCAAUCUGAGAAGCUUGUUAAUUUGGUCUUAUAAUAUAAUUUUUCUGGACUUGAUCACCAAACAUAAAGGUUGCAUUGCCAACCUGUUUCUCUCCAUCAGUACUUGGAAUUGUUUCUUGUAACACCGUUUUGUAAUCUCUUAAGAUAGAUAUUAGUUUUCUUGAUUUAAUUCUCCAAGCUUUCUCUUGUCCUCUACAGGGAGAUAAUGGAUGUGUGUCAUAUGUUUGGGAAACAUGGAAAUCCUGAAACUUUAGAUUUUUUUUAUCUUUUGCAUUCAUUAUUUUUUUUUCUAAUUAUUCUUUGGAUAAUCUUGCAGAGUGGGAUUUCAUGCCUAAUUGUAACAGGCAAAAGAGUUUAAGCAGGAUUCCGGUUGAGGAUUAAAAAACAUAAAUUUGAAUAUAGUUCUUGUUUGAUUAAUGAAAUCUAUCAAAUCUAGCUGUUUGAUCUGUGAUUAUGUUGAUUCCUUUCCAGCACAUUAAAGGUUAAUAAUAAUACAAUGGUCAGUGAAGAUGUCUCCCUUUUAUUUGAAACUUUGUACAUUGAGCAUAUUUUUCGAGACUGAUAUGUGAGGUAGGAUGUUGAAACAGUAGCCAGGGAUCUGUGAAGCUUUAGGUUUUGUUACCCUAAUAUUUGUUAUGUCUUUAUUUGUGAAUGACUAAACUUCUUGUUUGGAUUCUAAGUUUUGGUUGGUUUCACUGCUAACCCUGUAGUGUGACUGGCAACAGGUUUAUAAAAUGUUAACUUCUCUUAAAUCAUUUCUUUCAGCUUUUGGGUCAUGUUUUUUUUUAAAUUCUUAGUGAUUUGAAUUUCUAACAACUUAUAUGAAGUACUGGAUCAAUAGUGAAAAAAAAGAUACGGAAAAAUAUCGUGGCCAUUAAUAGUUUGUGUUUGUUGUCCUGUUUCUCUGUUGUCAGUGAACUCUGCUUCUUUCUCUAUUGCCCCAUAUGCAUCUUUUUCCGCAUUUUUACUCUUUUCUUAUUAAAACUUGUACUUUUCUGAGUAAUUUAGGCUUCUCAUAGCUUUUGAGUCCUGGAUUCAUCGUGAAAUUUGACCUACAUGGUGGGUGCAAUUGAAAUUAUUGAAAAGAGAGAAUUGUUGAUCUUUAGUUUUAUAGUACUGAAUUAGUUUUGGAUUUGCUUAGGUGGAGCAAAUUUGAAAGGUCAUUUGCUUAGGUAUUACUUCAUUUACUAAAUUAUCAAGAGCAUCAAUUGAAAUUAUUGAAAAGAGAGAAUUGUUGAUCUUUAGUUUUAUAGUACUGAAUUAGUUUUGGAUUUGCUUAGGUGUUGCAAAUUUGAAAGGUCAUUUGCAUAGGUAUUACUUCAUUUACUAAAUUAUCAAGAGCAUUGGACAAUUUGAUUUUGUAUUGCAUUCUAUUGUUUUUAGUAGUUGUGGGUUACAUUCUGAAUAUGACUCACCCGCAUCCUUUAUCUGAUAGUAUCUCUCAUAUCUUCCAAUAUGGGAAUGAUCUCCAACAUGAGAGUUGUAUUUAGUUCUAUCUCCAAUAUGAGAAUGAGGAAAUGAAAAACAACAGUAUAUGAGAGCUUUAUUUAGUUAUAUAUUCAAUAUGAGAAUGAGAACCAACAGUGUUUGGAAUGUUUUUGUUCUAUUUAGUUCUAUCUCCAAUAUGAGAAUGACAAACAACAGUAUUUGGAAUGACCCUGAUGAUUUGAUUAUCUGUUGCAGUGAAGACUUACUAUGACUGUCUGUUACCCCCAGUUACGGUAGAUUAUUGGACUUAAUGUGAUGCUUUAGGUUUUAUUCCAUUUCCAUUCACUAUUUUUCUUAUGUCAUAUAUUUGGAAUGGUUGUAGUCUUUCUUAUUGGUUGAAUAGUAGGAAGGCACAUCUGAGAGUUGUGUGUGUCUAAGCAAGAGCGAUAGUUGAUCACCGAACAAUAUGAUCAUUGAAGUUAAGUUACCUUUAUAGAAGUUUUUUUUGUAUGAUAUACAAGUACAUCCAAUUUUAAUUGGAUAUCCUUUGUUAACAACAAUCCUUUUGGAAUAGGAUUUGUUUGAGCGCUAGUUUCGACAUGAAUGUGAAAGUUCAACUUGAAACGGCAGCUCAUGACAACUUAAUUUCUUAGGUUCCAGCUCUUAUUAGCUCUCAUUCGGAGUAUGUACAAGUUUGGAAAAAUAAAAAAAAUGCUCGUUUUAGUCUAGUUAUCUUUUUCCCUUAAUUGUUGUUUUGAUCGGUGUUUGUCAAAUGUUUUUGAAUAAUAUACUUGUAUUUUUUAUUGCUAUAUUUAUUUUUGCAUUGAAUUACAUAGAUGUUUUGUAAAUAUGAUAAUUGAUUAUAACAAAAUCGUAGUGGUUCUUAUAAAAUUAUUCAUGAUUGAUGUAUUGCCUUUAAUACUGAUUGUUGUUGGAAAACUAAUCUAGAAAUUCUUUCUUGGCAGAUGAUUCUCAUUAUUGUAGAUAUUCUAUAACAUUUAUUCUUUUAAUUGUAUAGUUAUUUACAAUAAAAUGGUUUUACUUUCUACAGUUAGUUCUUUUUUAUACACUCCGAUAACUAAUUAAAUAUUUACAUUCACUGGAAAGUAGACUAUGUGAAUGAUAUAUUUUAAUGUUGGUUCAUAAAUUUUUUUUUUUAUAGUAAUCAUUAAACAAAUGCUUGGUAUACACUCAUAUUUAUCAUAUUGCCUUUUAGUAGAAAGCUAUUUGUAUUGCUGUUGAACAAAUCUUAAAGUCCUUUAUUAGAUUAUUUCUAAUAAUUAUUUCAUCUGAAUGGGUUAUAGAAAUUUUUCAUUUUUUUCAAAAAUAGAAUGAUUUUUCGUUUGUGAUUUUUAAUCAUUUAUUAAGGGUCACAUAGAUAUGUUUUUUCAUUCUACAUUGUCUUGUCUGGAAUUCUUUUCUAUAUUGUCUAAUUUGAACCAAAGGAUUGCUAAAUCUUUUCCUCAAAAACAUUUUUUAUGUGUUUUCUUUAUUAAACCAAUUAAUUCCUUCCCUGUUGUGGUAAAAAGCAAAGUGCGUAGUGAUCCUGUUUUAACUCUACAUUCAUGCAAUAUUUAUUAGUAGGUUCACAUUAAGAGUUGAUACUUUGAUUUCAGUAAUUCACAAAAUUCAAUUACAAUUCCUAUUUCAGUAAGAUUUUUUGGUCAAUAAUUUUUUUUAACAUCUUUUGUCUUUUGGGAAUAUUUUAAACCAUUUUAUACAUAUACCUUGUUAAAUAUAUAGUCACACUAGUCUUGCUAAAUUAAAGAAAAUUCUAUAUCUAUAUGGAAGGUAAUCUUGAUUUUUAACUCCUUUCAAAAGCACGUGUGCAAAUUGCUUAUAUGUUAUAUGCUUUUACAAUUGAUCUUUGUUUGGAACGAAAUUAUAAAAUAACUUACCUUAACUUAUUAAUUUUAUAUUUGUUGUGCAAUUACUAUCCACUUCAUAUUUUUCUAACUUAAAGUUAUAUCUUAAUUAGUAGGUUCACAUAAGAGUUGAUACUUUGAUUUUUGGAAUUACAAUUCCUAUUUCAAUUUUCCAAAAUCAAGUAUUCUGGUUCAGUAUUGAAAUAGUUUCAUGAUAAUUAAUUUUAAAAAUAAAAAGUUUGUUUGAUUGAAUUUAAAAUUUCUCAUAAUAAUUGUUGGUGUAGUUUGUCUUCAUUCACUAAAACAAUCAGAUUUAUUCACCCUAGUAUUUCUUAUUAUUUUAUUGAUAAGUAAAUACAUUAUAAGUAAAGUAGGUCAUUUUCCUUCAAGCAAGAGAAAAGUUACCAGGUACCAUUCUUUUUUAGUGUCUCUUUCUCUUCAACAAAAGCCCUCCUAUUAUUAAUAUAACUAAUAUUGGUUAUGUUUCGAUAAUAAUAAUGGGUGUAUUUAGAGAACUUUUUAUCUUUAUUCGUAUUUUUUAGAAUUAACUAUAAAUAUAAGAGUGUGAAUAAUAAUGUUAUUUAUUUUAUUUUAAUAUUAAACAUAAUUAUAUGUAAAAAUGAUAUACUUAUAUAACAAAUAUAUAAAUGUAUUUGAUAAUAACUAUAAUAAAUGUGUUAUAUAUUUAUUAAUAUUAUACAUGUAUAUUAUAAAUGUGUUAUAAUUUGUAUUUUCGAUUGGGUCAAUCUUUCAGAAUGCAACUUUGAAAUGCUUGAAGAUCACAAUGAGAAGAGCUUCAUCUCUUGAUAAGACUCUGAUAAUUAAGUCAAUGAGUGCAUUAAAAAUAUAAGUGUAGUGUGUAUUAUAUGAAAUAAUGCUUACUUUGUUCGAGAUUACAAGAUUUUUUUAUAACAAUUGUCGAUCAUUUUUCAGGAAUCAGUACAUAAAUUGUCAUUAUAUUAUCAUUUUUUUUAUUUUUUUGCCAAACUCAUGUCAUAAGAUAAUAUAAUUAACUGAUUCAGUUGUAUCAAAUAUUUAGGUUAUUUUUUGUUUUAGCACGUGAUGUUUGAGGUGCGUGUGACCUACCAAACCCGACCUCUUUGAACCUAUUGAGCUUGUCUUCAUUUGUACCAAAGAGGUAUAGAAUGCACGGUCUUUAUUGGAUCUGACCUUAUUGGACCGAAGAGUUAUUAGUUAUAAUUAUAAAAUUAAAAUUGAUUAAUUAGUUAGAUUAUUAUUUGAAUUACUAGUUAGAUUAUUAAUUAGAUUAUUAGUUAAGUUAUUAUUUAAAUAUUAGUUAGAUUAUCAGUUUAAUUGUACAAUUAGAAUUAUUAAUUAGUUAUAGUUAAAUUAUUAGUUAGAUUAUUAUUUAUAUUAUUAAUUAGACUAUUUUUUAGAUUAUUUAGAGUUUUAGUUAGAUUAUUAUUUAAAUUAUUAGUUAUAUUAUUAAUUAGUUUAUUAUUUAAAUUAUAGUUAGUUUAUUAUUUAAAUUAUUAGUUAGAAUAUAAUUUGAAUUUUUAAUUAAAUAAGUUGUAACUAAUUAAUUAGUUAAAUUAUUAAUUUUAAUUGUAAAUUUAGAAUUGAUUAAUUUUUAAAUUGUAUUUAUGAUUAUAAUUGUUUAAUACGUUUACUAUUCCUCAAAUUACAUGUAUUUGAAAAUUUUGAAAAUCUAAGAGUCUCAAAUAUAUCAAGUCUCGAAUAAAAAACUAAGAGUCUUUUAAUAAAAAAUUUCAAAAUCUAAUUUGAGGAGAGUAAUCAUUUGUAUUCAAUUCAAACAAUAUUUGUUGGAUUUCUGAAAAUUUUAGCAUGGUUCUAACACAAUUUUAAAAAGGAUAAAUACAAUAAUUUUUUAAGAACUCAAAUUUAUUGUAUAAAUUUUUAUUGUGAUUAUAAAAAUAAGGAACAAAUUUUUUUAAACUAGUCAUGAAAAAUAUCUUCCUACUUCCAAAAAAAUCUGAAACAUUCCUGUGCACAUAAAUAUUUAUUGUCAAUUUAUAUAAUUUAUAAUUAUAUAAUAUAGAGAUCAAUGUUCCCGUGUCCUGUCAGUGUCCGUGUAUGUGAUACGUAGAUUAUAAGUGGUCUCAUAUAUUUUUUUAUUCUUUUUUGGUAAUAAAAAAAGUUUUAUUUAGGUAUUCAGAUGUGUCUUUGAUGUAUUAAUAAUGUGAAUGUGAAUUUGAAAAGGAAAAAGAAAUUGAUUCAGCUAAUUUGAAGGACAUUAUCAUCUUUUUGUUUGUACAGUUUAUUAGAACAAAUUCUCCAAAGCAUCAUGCAUAAGUAAGAGACAGAAGGAUUUGGGUUUCAUCCGAUAAAUGAGUUACAAUUUAUAAAAUAACUUAUUGCAUUAUAAUUGUUUUAUAUAUUUUAAUAAAUUUUAUAACCUUUUUAACU
rnacentral:lncRNA from 1 species